rnacentral:lncRNA from 1 species
GUAGUUGUGACAGCCAGGAAACCGAGAACGGAAUGCCAAUACUGCUUAGGCUUAGAGUUUGAAAGGCAUCUGAUUUCACUGCCAUGUCUUUGAACAGCAGUGCACAGUGCAGUCUUCUUCGUGGCUGAACAGCCACUCGAUGUCUUUUGAUUGGAGAGUUUAAUCAAACAGAAGGAGUCUUCCAUUGUGGCCACCACAGCUGGGAAUGAGCUAAGGUCUUGCUAUGUUGCCUAGACUGGUUUUGAACUCCUGGGCUGAAGCAAUCCUCCCACUUCGGCCUCUCAAAGUGCUGGGAUAUCAGACAUGAGCCACCUGCCAUGCUUGGCCUAUAGCUGAAUAAUUGUAUUGGAGAAUGUGUGGCCCACAAAGCUUGACUAUCUGGCCCUAUACAGAAGAAGUUUGCUGAUCUCUGACUUAGCUGCCUAGGAAUAGCCAGGCAACCAGCUGCUACUUUGAGCACCCGGCUAAAAUAAGCAGAGACAACUGGAAGGCUUGAUGUGAAAAAGAGCUGUUGAAGUGUACACAAGCAAGCUGACUGCCUUAUGACUAAUACUUGACAGAACCCAGCAAGAGGAUAUGAGAUUGCAGAUGGAUGACCUCAAUCCUGAACAGAAAGGCGUGCAUGAUAAUGGAGAGAAAAAAGCCAAUGGGGAAAAAAAACCCACCACUAUUUUUUUAAUAGCCUAACACACACACAAAAAACUGGUUUUCCUUUUUCUGUAAUGUGUCUGUAGAGCUGGCUAUUCUGAUUAAAGUUGCCCUUGAAAAAGCAA